rnacentral:rRNA from 1 species
UGUCACACGAGUGAAUCAUCGAAUCUUUGAACGCAAUUUGCACCUCGUCGCCUCGGUGACAAGGUAUACUUGUUUGAGUAUCACAAACAACCUCACUGUCCCUUCGGGCGUUAGUGGAGAUGAGAUUCUAGCCACACAUCCUUGUGAUGCAGGGUAGUCUCUUUAAAUGCAGCACGCUCUGAAAGUCUCAGCGUUGAGAUGACUAUUGGGAUAACAUCCUAACAAUAGACAUUGCUUUGACUUUACUUCUUUCCUUUCAGGCAAGAGCAGAGCAGCACCUGGAGAGCCAUUUGCUGUAAAAGGCAGAUGGCUUGACAACUACACGUGAUGUUGAUCUCAAAUCAAGUAGGGAUACCCGCUGAACUUAAGCAUAUCAAUAAGCGGAGG